UGGCGCACGGGUGAGUAACACGUAGGUAAUGUGCCUUUGGGUGGGGAAUAACUUAGGGAAACUUAAGCUAAUACCGCAUAAUGCGAUAACUUCUUCGGAAGAUUUUGUUAAAGAUUUAUCGCCUGAAGAGCAGCCUGCGGCAGAUUAGCUAGUUGGUAAGGUAACGGCUACCAAGGCUACGAUCUGUAUCCGACCUGAGAGGGUGGUCGGACACACUGACACUGAAUAACGGGUCAG
rnacentral:rRNA from 1 species